UCGAAAAUCCCGGCUUACUAGCGGAAGGAUAUUCGGAACUGAGCAGAUUUUUUGUACAACUUCUCGACAGGAUGGGCGCCUUUGCUGAGUUCAUCACGCAGCACAUUCAAGAGCUAGACGACGCGGAUGCAGAAGAAAUUAAAUGGAUUGAGAGUCGAUCAAGGACGAAGCGACCCAGAAGAUCAUACAGGACAUACUAUCGGUACGAUCCAGUGGAAGCAAUGGUAGCCACAAAAAGAAACUUAUUAACCGACAGGAAUGGAAGGCGAGUGCCAAAGAGGAGGUUUCUACUAUAUAUAAUGUAGACAAGGCCGUGCUGAUUGAGUAAGAAGAUUCGGUUACCGGAGCUGUGACCUGGACCGUCAACAAGAAGUACAUUGAUGCAAUCGGACUGCAGUUUGGAUUCUAGUAGGGCAAUGGGAUCCACUCAGGAAGAAGGGAACCGUCGCUAAAGUGUGGCCAGCGGAAAGAAACGUAAAGUUCAAAGACUAUCAAAUCAGAUACCGCGACGGACUCGAUCUGGUGAUUCGAGGUAUUUCUCUCAACGUUCGAAGAAUGCGAGUACGAUAACGGCGAGAAGCUCGGUAUCCUUAGUCGUCCUGGGCAUGAAAGUCAGUCUUACACUUGAUCUCUGCAGAAUCGUUAAAGCACGCGGUGGACAAAUCAUCAUCGAGUGUCUCGAUAUUUUCCAGAUGG